rnacentral:lncRNA from 1 species
AAAACACUUUGCUGUAAUUUGUGGCUGUUGAAGUGUGUGGUUCUGUAAAGCAGAAAAAUUACAAAUAUAUAAUUUAAUAUAUAUAAUUUAUAUACAUUAUAUAGAGAGGGAUGCGGUGGUACAGCGGGCUUGGCUGGGUCCUCAUCUCUGGUGGGUCUGGGGUUCAAGUUCUGCUGGGGUGCCUUGUAGUGGACUGGCGUCCUGUCCUGGGUGUUUCUCCUCCCCCCUCCUGCCUUGCGCCCUGUGUUGCCGGGUUGGACUCCAGUUCGCCCCACCCCCAUUUGGGACAAGUGGUUUUGGACAGUGUGUGUGUGACAUAUAUAUAUGUAUGAAAAAUGGCCAAGUUCUUUCAAUGUUGAGAAAUGUGCUUCCACCUGAGCACCUAUAAGUCUGUACAUGUAUUCUCUGCUCCAGUGUUAUUUCCAAAUAUCCUCUUGGCAAAACUAGGCAGCAGGAGUUAGUAUCUUAUAUCCAGGGGCAAAACUUACCAAAUCUCACUUUUGAGGCAUGGCUGUUGAACGUACACUUUAUAUUUUUUUAACCUGAAGUCAAGAAAAACCACAUGUUCAUAACAACUCUCUCUAUACCUGCUUCCCACGGUGGCCAAGCAUGUCCUCCUGCCUCUCAGGAUAUCGGCAGAGUGAACAGUUUACAGGAGCUCCGAGAGGAUUCCAGACCGAAGUGCAUCAUUUCCUCUGCACUGGUCAGAAAUCCCCUGGAACUCGACCCUCGCUCUUCGUGAUCCCCAUUACCUCAUGAAUGUCAGUAGAGGGGGGCGCGGUGGUGCAGCAGGUUUGGCCGGGGCCUGCUCCCUGGUGGCCCUGGGGUUCGAGUCCUCCUUCGGGUGCCUUGCGAUGGACUGGCAUCCCGUCCUGGGUGUGUCCCCUCCCCCUCCAGCCCUGCACCCUGCGUUGUCAGGAUUGAACGGCUGCUCUGCAAGCAUACACACCCCUUGGAAAGGACACGUUGACUCAUCAGAGCCGGAGGCCAGCGAUCGGACAUUGAGUAACGUGAAAAGUAAAGCAACUGGACCAGCAAAAGGGCUUUCUGAUGCACCGCUCUCCAGGUGGGUGCUGCAACUACAACUAGGAAUGUUACAGGUACUACCACUGCUAAAAACUAUGAAUAAAAACAACAACAAUGAUGAUAAUAAUAAUAAUAAUAAUAAGAAGAAGAAGAAGAAGAAGGACAACACUGUGCCAAAUUAUAUGAUGUUCAGAAAUGAACAUUAACUCUCUUCAGAUACACAGAUGAGAAGGAUUUCCUUCUAAAUCUUUCCGAGUGUUAAAAACAUCUUUUACAUUUUUUUCUCCUUUCCAUGAUGGGUUCAUGAUGUUUCUCACCUGACUUCUGACAGCUGUUUUGUUGCUGAUUGGCAUGUUGUUUCUCUAUAAAUCAUCCAACGUGAUUUCGAGGGCUCAGGGAAGAGGGCAGAUUUACACACCGACGGCUUCUGGGUCUCUGAGUAUGGGGACGAUGCAUUUCAACAGACCACUGCUGAGCCCAGGAUUGAAGGCUAAACUGAGUGAAACAGUGAGCUCAUACACUGUACAGGCCAAUUGAUAAUAGAGUAGAAAGUUC